AGUUAAUUGAUGACUGUGUACAAGAGAACUCUGAUAUAGGAAAUUCGAAAAGGUUUUUGAAAUGUCACCCAACUAUUUCCUGUUUGGUUUUAUGUACAUAUAAUAAUAUACUUUGUAAAUUGAAUUGGCCUUCUAAACUUGAAGUGGAUUUGUGUCUAUGAAAAUGUGCUGUCGAGUCUGUUCAUUGGGGACCCUUUCUUUGAGCGAAGUCGAAGUGGACUGUAGAACAAUGAAGGUUUAAAAGUAUUUAGCAUAUGACCAUGUGUCCUGCAGUCCAUGAUGUUUGCUUUACUUGAUUAUUGGAUAUUAGUUCUUUACCUUUGUAAAAUAACUUUCUUUUUCGUAUUUGAGUGACUAUCUACUUGAACGGCUUUUUGUUACUUCUAAAUUCAGGAUGAAAGGGAACUUAAAAGACAGAGAAGAAAGCAGUCAAACCGGGAAUCUGCUCGCCGAUCCAGAUUGCGCAAGCAGGCAGAAUGCGAUGAGCUGGCCCAGCGUUCUGCAGUUUUAGAAGAAGAAAAUGCUUCUCUUAGAGCAGAAGCGGCUCAAAUAAGGAGCCAGUAUGAGCUGCUUCGUACUCAGAAUGCAUCUCUGAAGGAGAAACUCGGUGAAAGUUCCAGUCAGGAUGAUCCAAGGCACAGUUGGCAUUCCGGACAAGCAGAUAACCAGCAGAGUGGGGAAUGAGUUUUUGAGAACGAGUGGCUUAACCUAACUCGUAGUGACAGGAAGUGGAACUCCCAAAAUUAGGUGAGCCUGUGUAGUUGAAAAUUCUAUCAAAACUGACCAUUUUAGUCUCAAAAAUUGUUUAUCAAAUAUCACCCAUUAUUCUCCGUUUGACCAAUCUUUGAUGGUCGAAGAAUCCAGAUAUCGUCCA